rnacentral:rRNA from 1 species
CCUACGGGUGGCAGCAGUGGGGGAUAUUGCACAAUGGGGGAAACCCUGAUGCAGCGACGCCGCGUGUGGGAAGACGGUCCUCUGGAUUGUAAACCACUGUCCCCAGGGACGAAAGUGACGGUACCUGGGGAGGAAGCUCCGGCUAACUACGUGCAAGCAGCCGCGGUAGUACGUAGGGGGCGAGGGUUGUCGGGAAUUACUGGGUGUAAAGGGAGCGUAGGCGGGACUGAAGGUUGGGUGUCAAAUCUACGGGCUCAACCGGUAGCCGCAGGCAAAACUGGAGGUCUUGAGUGAAGUAGAGGCAGGCGGAAUUCGUGGUGUAGCGGUGAAAUGCGUAGAUAUUAGGAGGAACUCCGGUGGCGAAGGCAGCCUGCUGGGCUUUUACUGACGCUGAGGCUCGAAAGUGUGGGGAGCAAACAGGAUUAGAUACCCCAGUAGUC